rnacentral:rRNA from 1 species
CCUCCGGGGGGCAGCAGUGGGGAAUCUUGCACAAUGGGCGCAAGCCUUAUGCAGCCAUGCCGCGUGUAUGAAGAAGGCCUUCGGGUUGUAAAGUACUUUCAGUCGUGAGGAAGGUGUUAAGGUUAAUAACCUUAGCAAUUGCCGUUAGCGACAGAAGAAGCACCGGCUAACUCCGUGCCAGCAGCCGCGGUACUACGGUUGGUGCGAGCGUUAAUCGGACUUACUGGGCGUAUAGGGCACGCUGUCGGUUAAUUAAGUUGGAUGUGAAAUCUCGGGUAUUAAGCUGGGGAUGGCAUUCAAGACUGGUUAGCUAGAUGCUUGUAGAGGGGGGUAGAAUUCCAUGUGUAGCGGUGAAGUGCGUAGAGAUGUGGAGGAAUACCGGUGGCGAAGUCGGCCCGCUGGACAAAGACUGACGCGCAUGUGCGAAAGCGUGGGGAGCAAACAGGAUUAGAUACCCUUGUAGUC